rnacentral:rRNA from 2 species
GGGUUGUGAGGUUAAGCGACUAAGCGUACACGGUGGAUGCCCUGGCAGUCAGAGGCGAUGAAGGACGUGCUAAUCUGCGAUAAGCGCCGGUAAGGUGAUAUGAACCGUUAUAACCGGCGAUUUCCGAAUGGGGAAACCCAGUGUGACUCGUCACACUAUCAUUAACUGAAUCCAUAGGUUAAUGAGGCGAACCGGGGGAACUGAAACAUCUAAGUACCCCGAGGAAAAGAAAUCAACCGAGAUUCCCCCAGUAGCGGCGAGCGAACGGGGAGGAGCCCAGAGCCUGAAUCAGCAUGUGUGUUAGUGGAAGCGUCUGGAAAGGCGCGCGAUACAGGGUGACAGCCCCGUACACAAAAGCGCAUGUGCUGUGAGCUCGAUGAGUAGGGCGGGACACGUGGUAUCCUGUCUGAAUAUGGGGGGACCAUCCUCCAAGGCUAAAUACUCCUGACUGACCGAUAGUGAACCAGUACCGUGAGGGAAAGGCGAAAAGAACCCCGGCGAGGGGAGUGAAAAAGAACCUGAAACCGUGUACGUACAAGCAGUGGGAGCACAGGUUUACCUGUGUGACUGCGUACCUUUUGUAUAAUGGGUCAGCGACUUAUAUUCUGUAGCAAGGUUAACCGUAU